rnacentral:lncRNA from 1 species
GAAGAUGUAUAAAGGGAGUAUGAAAAGGUGGCAAUGCCUGAUGAGUAGAUUUUGGUGCAUUAUUCUUAUGUUCAGUAGUUGCUGAUGCAGCUGGAUUUGCAAACAGGUUAGGUCCAUGAACAUUGCCCGUAGGGUGAAAUACAGAAUCUUGAAAUGACAUACCCAGGGAAGGAUUUUGAACACAUGUUCUAAGGCUUCCAUCUAGGACAUGCACAGCAACAUGCCGAGGAUAAUUUUGAGCAGCUUGCAUCUCAUCUGCACAAAAAUCACCAUCCAAAUCAUCUUUUCUCUGGCCUUGAGCUGAUUUCUCAUAUGAAGUGCAAGACUUCUCCAAGUUUGAAGCCUUACUUGUACCAUUAUCAUGAAAUGUCUGUUGGACAUUAAGUUUAUAAGGUUCACAAAUUUCUUUAAGUUCAAGAAUAACAUAGAAUUCAUGUUUUUCAUGAUUUACUACCUCUUUUGGCAAAGGUACAAACUCCCUGAAUGUACAAGAGCUUUUGAGUGCAGUUGACAUUGGUAUAAAAUUCUUAUUCAUGGAAGACGCAGAGGAGCAGUUUUGUUCGUGGAGAAGGGUAAAAACCUCAGAGCAACUCUGGUCUUGAUUUUCUUUCAGGUUUGUAGCCUUUUCAUCUCCAGUAGGUCUCUGACAAACACAAUAUAUUUGAAGCUUACGUUAAAAAGGAGAAAAGAAAAAGAACAUAAUUAAGAGCAUGAAUAAAGUAGUUGAGGAGGAGAAAGAAACCUCCGGAAGUGGUUCUUUCUCCAAGUCCAACAUUUGCUUGCAACGCAAAGAAGAUAAUGGCAUUUCAGAUUUUCCAUCCUUAGCUCCCUCUUGUACUGUAGUAGCAGCACCAGUUUUUCGAGGAUAAGGAUUGCUUGGUUUUCUUUUAGGGCGUGGAGGUGGAAUCUCUAUGUCAAGAGCUUGACCUAUUGGUACACCUUUAGCAAGUGCCUCCUUCUCCAACUGAGAAUGGAUUAUUGUCAGUAGCAUCAAUAAAAUGAUAAAACAUAAGAGAAAUCUUACGAGUUUUUGGAGGCACCAAUGAAGCAUCAAUAUAAUAUUAACAAUGUGCAACACUAAAAUUAAUGAUAGGAAUGACAUAACUAAAUGCAACAUGAUCAUAUCUAACCAGUAUAAUUCCAAAUAUUAUCAGGAAACAAGAAGUCCAAGUAUAUAAUUGCUCUACAAUCUACAAAUAUCUCACACAGGAGGUUCAUACAAAAUUUUAUACUCCUGUUGUCAAUUAAUAUGGCCUGUUUUAUAACAUUAGAUUAGAUUAGAUUCUUCUUUUAUCCUUUCAUCCCAUAACAUGUCUGCUCAAGACUCGUCAGCAAUAUAAUACUUGAAUGUAGCAGACAUAAACACAGCCCACAGUUGAACAUAUACAUAGACAAAGAUUGACUAAAUAAAAAAGGGGGGGCUGGUUUAGCCGAGCAGUCAGUUCUGCUCGGCUAAACCAACCCCCCAUUUUACUAGGAGAAGAGAGGAUUAGCUGUAUUUAGAUGAAAAGAAAAUUACCAGUGGUUUCUUAAGAAACACAGUUUAGGUACUGCAUAAAUAAGAUUAAUCAAACCAUCUAUAAUGUUCAUUGUCAUGUAAAAUUGAGAUCAUUAAAGGUUAGGACUUCAGACUGAAGAAAGUAUUUGAUAAAGCUUUAACCAUAAUAUUCUUGAACAAUCUUCAUUUGCUUACUGUCCUGAUAAGAUUUAUCACUCACGAGCUAAUCGAGAUAAAAAUGUUAUGCAUGCAUUUGUUUGCGACAUCAGAAAUAUGAAAAGGAAAAAAAGAAGGAAGUAAUGCAUUACCAUGUACCUAACUUUAACAUAAUUGGCAGGUGACUGCCGAUAACCUGCAGGAAAUAAGUCUUUAAGAGAAGAAUCCAGUAAAAUCUUACUUUUACUGAAGAUGUAUACUUAAGGAGGAUAAUCGCUUAAGACAGACCUAUAGGAUGCAUACCUCAAAUCAAACAUCAUAAUUAGCUACAAGGCACAUCUAACAGACAUGCUGCUGUGAGCUUGGCUGCAAAACUUAAGGUACUAUGGGGAAGAUUGAUCCCAGUAUGAUCACCUAGAAGGUAUAAUAUAGUUUCAAUUAGGACUUAUCUUUCUGAUUAAAAGAAAAAUAUGCAGAUCAGAAUUUUAUGUUCCACAUUACUAGGAAAGGAAAUUAGUUGUAUCAUAAAUGAUAACAUCUAUAUAGAAGGUAUGAUCCUUAAGCAUAAAUGAGUACCCAUCUUGCAUUUCAAGCUCUCCCAAUUCCCAGAAAUGGAAGAACAAAAAUAAAAUUCAUUUUUUAGAUCUAACGAGUAUCUGGCUCACACCAGCAAUAUGGCUAAUGUUUGAAGAGAUUUCUCACCAGUAAUCUAAAGUUCUAAACACAUCAACAAACUCUAUAAUUCAACAAAUUCGUGUCAUCCCUGCUAGUACUAACUACUACUCAUCAUAUCCACUCUAAUGUUAGAUAAGAUCAUUUGGUAUUAUGAGAUCAACAUCUUCAACAGCCCUAAACUAAGUAGAUAUAAGCCCUAAACUUCCACCACAUAAAGGAGAUAAUAAAAAGUAGGCAAUAAAAUGCAAAAAAGAUAUAAGCCCUUGAGAUAUUGUCUUGAAAGGAUGUGAAACUUGCCACUAUAAAAGCUUUUAACAAAAAAAUGAUCCUAAAAUCAAAAGCUAUAAGCUAUCAAAUUUACCCUAACUGCAGAUUCAUUGCCAACCUUGGAUGCUGAUGAAUUGAACUAUUAGCAACCUUGAGAUGCUCUACACAUAAAGGAUACACUAAGCGGUAAUUCUAACUUGCAAUGACUAGCAUACUGGCCAUGGAUGCUAAAGAUUUCAGUUUAAACCAGAACCAAAAUCUAUGCAUAUAAUAUAGCAACAAAGAACAUGAUAGGUGGGCUCACCCCAAAUUCACUUCCUAGUUCUAUACCUCAUAAUGAUGUAUUUUCACUCUGUAUACAAACUCACUUCUUAGUUCUUACUAUACCUCAUAAUGGUGUGUUUUCACUCUCUAUACAAAUUUAGACUACAUGUAUCUACAUGACCCUUUUAUCCAAAGAAACCAAAUAUUUUAACUUUCAAAACCUCUGCUGUGGUAGGUUAAGUACAAAAUUGCUUCAGCAAGUUCCCAGACAAGAGGAUGCCUUGCACAUAAAAGGUUAGUGAAGGGCACAUUAGAAAAAAACCUUUUAUGACAACUUAAAAAACCAAAAAUGCCCUUUUUUAUUUCGGACUCCAAGGGUGAUAAACCAUCUUGCGCAGCCAAUUUCGUACAGAGACCAAAUAAAGAGAAUUCAAAUAGCUUACAUCCCCAAAAUCAAAUUCGUAGGGAAGAUAAAAGGCUAUCACCCUAAAUACGGUUUAAAUAUUUAGCAGCUCAGAUUCUUAUUUAACUCAAGUUGCUGCCUUUUCUAUAUAUAUUAAUAAACAAACUCCAGUGUACUUCUUUACAUAGUUGGUUAUAAUUUUGAUCGGUCAUAUAUGAUUGAUGUUUUUGACACAGAAAGCUAUACAUUCGCUUCGUAUAUUUUCUUUGUUGUUUUAAAUCUAACAAAUUUGUUUAUACAAGUGAGAAAAUGAAGUAAUAGAAUAAUCAGUAAGAUUUCCCAACCGUUCAAGAUAGUACAGUUGACGAUUCGAUAUUUCAUAUAUCUCAAGCAGAAACAAGAAUUAAGCAGCAGAAAAAAAUUACAUUGAACAUAGGCAUAAGCAUAAACAAGAAGGCACCAAAUGACCUUUGAAAAGAACUUUUGAGCAUGACUCCUGAUCUGCACAGCUGUCUUUGUUCCUAUAUAUUCUGCAAAUCACCAUGUAAAAACAAAAUGGAAAGAAAAAUACAACAAUAAAUAACAAAACUAUUCAGUUGUUGGUCCUAACAAACAUAUCCUACGAAUCUUAGCCUCAAUCCACAAAAACACUAGCUCUAAAAUGAUAGCAGCAAAAUCUAAACUAAGAGGGAAAAAGCAAGUGAAAAAACCUUCAAUGCGUUGCCAAGCUCGUCCAUAGAGCUUCAAGGCCUCUAGAAACCUAUUAUGCUCUUCCUCGCUCCAUCUUUCACGUUGUUUCGUAAUAGUAUAAGGCUUCCUAGUCUAUCAUUUAACAUACAAAAUUCAAUGGUCCAAAUUAUAACAAACACAAACCCCCAUUUUUUUACAAAGCUUCAUUUAAGAGAAGAGUUUACCUUAAUAACUAGUUCUUCACCAGAGGAGUAUGUGUCCAUUGAAACAGCGUCACCGCUGCUUCAAAUCCUCUCUAACAAGCAAAGAGUAUAUCACAAACCUCCUUUCAUUUCUUCCAACAUCCAAUACGACAAAUAGUAAUGCCGUUUUUGAGCUCCACAAAACCUGAUGAAUGCUAUUUAAUACUGCAAAAAGAAAAAACACAAAAGAACAACAACAACAAAUCGAUGGAGAUCCGUCUCUGUUUGUAUUUUUAUUCCAAUUAAAUUAAUAUUAAUUUCUCAUCAUUUAAUAAAAAUAUUUACUUAAUAAAAAUUUGGGGUGAAUGCUAAAUCUCUGGAAAAAUUAAAAUAAAAUAAAUAAAAAUUAAGUAUCCACCGUAACAAAGAGAAGAGACGGCUUCUUCCAAAGAACUUAAAAGAAAAUUCUCACCAAAACGAACCCGUAGACGCCAAAACCUUUAAUAGAAAAUGAUACGAAAAAAAAAAAGAAACUUUAAUUAGUAAUCAACAACACACUUCCACUGUUCCACAUCCAAUCUAUCUAUUGACAGCCAAUAAUAAUUCUUCACCUUCUGUUUGGUCGCCGAGAAAAAAAACAAAAGGAUUCAAAUUCAAUCACUUUUCUUUCGUUACUCUACUCAGCUGCAUAUAAAGAACACAACUUCCAAACUCAGCUUAGCAAAGCCUUUAAGGAAGGCCCUAGAAAUGAAGUGUAAAUACCUUAAAGAGAUAACCAUGGAAGAUGACAACAAUGGAAGCAACGAUCACGUAUCAAAAAUGGGUUCACCGGAAACCAGCCGGAGAGCUCAUAGUUUCCGGCAAUGACAAGAUCGGAAUCAACAGAAUUGGAAAAAUUAAAAGUAGUCUUUUUUGGGAGAAAAGAACUUGAAUAAACCCAAAAAAAAAAAGUGAAAGCAAGCUUAUUUUCUGGUGAUAAACUGAAAAAACACCAGAAACUACAGUAUGGGGAAGAAACAAAAGGAGAAAUCUCAGCCACUACAAUUUCAUGAGGAUUUUUUUUUUGGAAAAUUACAAAAAUUGGGCAGAAAAUUAUGUGAGGCUAUAAAAGAAUGAACGGUAAGAUACAUUAGAUGUUGCCAAGUGGCAAUAAUUUAGUGGCUGAUUCAACUAAAAGCCCACCGUUGCACUUUUUCCCUUAUUUUUUUGAUCUUUUUUUCUUUUUGCCCUUCUUGUUUCCUACCUUCAUCUUCAAAUAUCAGCCACAAGCUCCCAAUGGUCUUGGUGUUAAAUUAGUAAAAGCGCCAUUUGGUAUACCACAUGGUUCCUGCCGUCAACGUUUACGCAAUUCGUUGGCGUGGGCAACCGGUACGUGUCGGUUACAGGGGUAGCUUUGGUGUUAAAAGCACCGGAUUUGUGACCAUUAGCCACCGUAUGAGGUGAUGAGAUUUUAGGGUUGCAACAAAUCUAGGGAUAUGCUAUGCUCCCUUCCAUAAGUACUUGUAUUUUUUAUAGAUUUGAAAUUUAGUUCCUGUACUUUUAUUUUUAGGAAUUUAGUCAUUUUACUUUUCAAAUUUUUAAAUUCAGGUUUUACUGUUAACAUUGUUAAAAUUAUUUGUUAAAUUCAAGUUCAUUAUAAUAUUAUUUUUUUAGUUAAGUUGCUACCAAGUGAAUUUUUUUUUAUUUCAAUAUGUAAUAUAAGCCAAUUUAACGAAAAAAAUUAUAACAAUGUUAACAAUUGAACCUAAAUUUUGAAAUAUAGAAAGUAAAGAGACUAAAUUUUAAAUUUACAAAGAGUACAGGGACAUGACAUAUUUUAACCUUUUUUAUUAAACUUGUGAGUUACAACUUAAUUCCUAAAUUUGAAUUUCAUUAGAGUAUAUUAGCGUGUCGCUCUAAUAUUAGGUCACAUUGUCAUUUGAAAAUUUUAAAAAUUUUAUAUGAUAUCUAAAGAAUGCAAAAGGAAAAAAUUAAAGAAAUUCAUGUGGCGAUGGGAGAUAAUCUUAUAAUGUCACAUUAUUAUACUUUAACAAGAUCUAAGAUAAGAAACCAAAUUGAGAAAAACUAUCAAGCUUAAAGACUAAUGUGGAUAAAAAAAAAGUUGAAGGAUCAAGAUGAAAAUUUUAUCAAAUUUAAGAUCUAAAUGUUGCUUUAUGAUUAUUUUUUUUUAUCUUUUUAAGAUAAGAGUAAACUCCAUCAAUAUUCUCUAAACUUCAUUUAAAAAAAUGAUGUAUCAUGUUUUGCCAUUAAUAAUAAUCAGACUAAGCUCAUUUUAAAACAACGCCCCUAUUUAUUGUAAUGAUAUAGCAUUAUUCUUAUUCAAGUGCCUUGAUGUCCUCCGCUAAUGGUUGGAGCCUCCAAUCGAUGGACCUUACAUCCUGCUCAAAACUCUUGCAUAAAGCUUUCAUGUUAGGUGCAAAGAUACCAAUAGUGAAUCCAAACCUCUUUGCCUCAAUCAUUGCUUCUCUUAUUACGAAUAAAAUAGCUUGCUUAGUGGUAACCUCAUGUAAUGUGCUACAAAAACUUGUAAAUUUUAUUCAUUGAAUAUUAAAGAUUGUUAGAGACACUCCGAGGAAGAUAGUCCCUUUCUUCCAAGCUACCAAAGCAAUUCCCGAUAUAGUACCAUGAGGAACAUUCGAUCUAAUUGAUUUGCUCUGUUGUAUUCGAAAAUACCUCUCCGUAGCAUUCUUCCAUUUCUUGUCCUCAAACACCUAUAUUUCAUAGUCCUUGAAGAUUUCAAACCCUGUUGAUUACACUUAAGGAUUAACAUCAUAUCCUUUAAAAUAAUAUUCAUUUAUAUGAAUCCGUAUAUUCUAUAAGAUGCAAAUAAUCACUUAAUGCGUAUCAUCUAUUAAUAAAAGAGAAAAAUUGAUGUUGAUUGUAACACCCCUAACCCGUAUCCGCUGCCAGAACAGGGUUUCAGAGCAUUACUACCAUUUACAGAUCACUAAAAAAAAUUUAAAUACUUACCGAUUCAAUGCAUCAUAUAAAUAAAUAUAUUACCAUUCAAUCAACAGUUUGACACUUGUAUAAGCAUCAAACAACAACAUUGUUAGUAUACUUGCACAUAUCUCAUAUAAAGUCAACAUUGAUAUAUCUAUUUUCUCGACAUAUCGCACUUGAGUUUAAUAAUAGUCUCAACUUACAUAAUUUCCUUGUAUCAACAUAUCAAAGAUAAUCAUAUAUGUACAUGUCAUGAAACAUAUCAUGCUCUUACCGUUUCUUCAUAAGCAUAUAUCAUUCAUUUCAUUAUAUCAAUAUUUCAUACUCCAUCAUUUCCAUAUAUUUUAUGUAUAUUUAUUCCGGUAAUAGCUUAUAUCAAACUUAACAUAAAUUAUAUUCCAUGUACUUAUACUUAUUUCGUUUAUCUAUCUUCAUAAUUAUUUCAUAUAACCAUUCGUCAUCUGAUACAUAUUACCUGAAUAUCAAUUGUUCAACAGAUGUUAGAGCGUCUCCCAUCCACGGUCUUAUUUAUCUUUGACAUGAUGCCAUAGUGUCUUUCAACUAUGGUCUUACUCAUUUUCUGUCAUGUUGCCAUGGUAUCUUUCAACCAUGGUCUUGUUCAUUUCAUAUCACGUUGCCAUGGUAUCUUUCAACCAUGGCCUUACACAUUUCAUAUCUGGUUGCCAUGGUAUCUUUCAACCAUGGCCUUACACAUUUCAUAUCAGGCUGCCAUGGUAUCUUUCAACCAUGGCCUUACACAUUUCAUAUCAGGUUGCCAUGGUAUCUUUCAACCAUGGUCUUACACAUUUCAUAUCAGGCUGCCAUGGUAUCUUUCAACCAUGGUUUUACACAUUUCAUAUCAGAGAGCACACUCCCGCGAACCUCAUCCUUACAGUGGGAUUACCAGUCCAGGCUAAAUCCCUUGUAAUAUAAACUCAUAGAGUAUUGUCGGGAUUACCAGUCCAGGCUAAAUCCCCUGCAACGACAAUUACUCUAAUGAGCUUGGAUCUGAAUUACCAGUCCAGGCUAAAUUCAGACCCUAAUUCGGAUUACCCGUCCGGGCUAAAUCCAUUUUACACGUAUUCUUCGGGAGGGCUAUAUCAAGAUAGGAUCACCCGUCUGGGCUAGAUCCUUUUUACCGUCAAUUCCUUUUCAGAGAUCCAUCGAAUUUUCCUUUCAUUCAACCGAGAUUUCUUCCCAUUUUAUCAAAUAUAUCAAUGUUUCAUAAAUUUUCAUACAAUGAACAUUCAAAUCAUAUUCACAUCAAUAACAUACAAUCUCAAGUAUUUAAGAAUAUAAUUCAAGUUACACGAACUUACCUCAUUGCUUGUUUGUGUUUAUAAUUUCAUUAAUCCGAUAUCUUUUCUUUUCCACAAUCAAGUCUCAUAUUUGAGUCGUCCGGAUCUUUAUAAAUAAAUUUGAUCAUCAUUUUCAUUCAUUUCAUCUUCUAAUGCAUUUAAUUAAUGCUCUAGGCAAGAUUACCAUUUUGCCCCUAAACUUUUAAUUAAUGACAAUUUCGUCCUUAGGGUCAAGAAAAUAAAAUUCUUGCAAUUUAAUCCUUAUUUCCAGCUAUUAUUCUCAUAUAUAUUGAUAACAGUCCAUGGAUUCUAUAAAAUAUCAUAAUUUUCCAUAAUUUCAACACUUUUCAAUUUAAUCCCUAAAACAUGUUUUCCCCCGAUCUUGAACUAAAUUAAUAAUUUCAUUCAAUUUUGUAAUUUAAAUAAUAAAAUAAUCCAUUUCAUGCAAUUUGGUUAUUUUUGACAUUUUUACAAAAUUACCCAUAAAGUUUUACUUUUAUUCAAUUUAGUCCCUAAGCCUAAAAUAUGCAAAUUAACCAUGCUUAAUGAAUAUUCAUAUAUUUUUUCCUCCUCCUCCUCUCCAUUCCACAUACUUGAUGUAUGUAGCACACUUGUAAGUAACAUUAUCUAAAUCUUUAUUAUUUACUUUUAUGAAUAUUCAAGCUGUCCAUCUGUGUCAUAGUCACUAAAUUAUUUAUAUCUGGAUCUAUAGGACUCCAAAUUAAUAUCCGCUAAUUUUCCCUGAAACUAGACUCAUAUAUCUUCUUACCAUAAAAUUUUCAGAAUUUUUGGUUUAGUCAAUAAGUACAGUUUAUUCUUUAAAUUUACCCCUAUUCUGCUGUCUGACAGUUGUGACCCUUCUUCACUAAAAAUUAAUUAUCUCCUUGUACAGAAUUCGAAUGAUGUUCAUAUUUGUUUCUAUUGAAAAUAGACUCAUUCAGGAUUAUAAACAUAUAAAUUUAAUCCCCUAAUUAUUUUUAUCCAAUUUUUUUAUGAUUUUACAAAUUCAGAAUAGGGGAACCCGAAAUCAUUCUGACCUUGUCUCACAAAAUUCAUCAUAUUUCAUGAUUUAGAAUUCCAUUGCUUACAUAAUUUCUUCUAUAAGAAACUAGACUUAAUAAGAUUUAAUUUAAUAUUUUAUUCAUCCUAUAAUUAGAUUUCUACAAUUUUUGAUGAUUUUUCAAAGUUAGACUACUGCUGCUGUCCAAAACUGUUUUAGUACAAGAUAUUAAUUACCAUGUUAUAACAUCCUUAUUUUCUUUUUCUACACCAUUGCUCAUCACUUUCUCUUAUUUUUUCUUCACUAACAUAUCAAGAACAUAGGACCUUAUGUAAGAAAACUCUACUAUAACAUUAUUUCCAUGCUUUAUCAAUAAUAACAAACUUAAAAACAUAUUGAAAUCUUGAUGUACUUACCUUUUCUUAUUGACUUCAAUCUUUAACUUGAUUUUUCUCUCUCCUCCAGCUUCGAUUUCUUGAAUCCAACUUGAUAUUCUUGCUCCCCAUCAUCUCCUUGCUAUCUUUCUCUCUUGAUGGCUAUGGAAAUUCUUUCAAUUUUUAGGUGAAAAUAAUGAAUUUUUGGUGGAAGGACUAAAUUGUAAAGAAAGCAAACUUCUUUUCUUCUUCUUAUCUUGCGUUAGUUUGCAUGGGAAAGGAAAUGUGUUGAUAAUUCUUCAUCUUUCCUUCCUUUUAUACUAAAUAAAUAAUAAUAUAAUAAUAAUAAACAUCUCAUAAAAUAUUAAUAAAAUAAUAUUUAUCUAAUUAAUUAAUUUAAAAUAUCAUCAACAUAAUCAUUACAUUCUAGAAUUCUCUCUCUUAAUUAAUUGACCAUUUUGCCCUUCAUGAUCUUUUAGAAUUCCAUCCUUGAGUCAUCACUUAAUUUGGUAAAAUUACGAUUUAGUCCCUCAUAAUUUUUUUACCUAUUCAAUUUGGUCCUAAUUCAUCAAUUUUUCUUGGUUUCUAGAUCAUUCCACCCUUAAAAUAUUUGCACCAUUAGUCCUUCAAUUUUUUAUAUUUACACUUCAACCCCUUAAAUUUUGAGUAUUUACUCUUGUGCAACAAGACUUUUCUCAUCUUUGCAAUUUAGUCCUUUCUUGAAUUAAUAUAUCAUAAUAUACUUCUCAAUAUUGACAUCACUCAAAAACUCCCUUUUGGUCACUUUAUUUCCUUAUUUUACUAUAUCACGGAUAAUAUUUUACUGUAAAAAUUUUCGGGGUAUUAUAUUGAUGCAUUUCCUCCUUAAUAUAACAUGCAAGAUAAAACUCUGAAUAUCACAAUUAUUAACUUCAGUCGGCUUAAAACCUAAAAUCAAUUCCAACCAAACUACUCUAACUAAGAAGAGAUGAUCAUAGGAUUCCAUAUAUUAGCCACAAAAGCUACAAGUUGUAUCAAAACAAUUAAUUCUUCUACCUAUUUCCUCUUUUAAAGGCAAAACUUUGACACAUAUUUUUUAUAGAAAUAGUAAUUCAAAAGAUUAAUAAUUAAUUUGAACUAUCAUUUUAAUAUUUUUAAAAUUUUUUUAAUUAUUUUAAAAAUUACUUAAAAAUUAUUAAAAUUUUAACCUAAUCCUUUAAACCGGAGCUUUUGGGUUUUACUUUUUUUUUUUUAAAACUUAAUCCUUUGAUGUUUUUCUUAUUCUUUUUAAAUCACACCAAACUGUUAUUUUAGCGUAUACCAAUGAUUAAAGUAUACAAAUUCUCAAAAUUAGAACAGUUAUUUUUAUAAUAAAAUUAUUAAAAUAUAAAAAUAACUCAAUAUUGAAUCAGUUAUUUUUCAAUUUAACAGAUAUUAUUAUGGAAAAAAAAGCUGGGUUUUAAUUAAGAGAACCCAAAACCCCAAUCUUUAAAUUCUACUGAUUUAAUCAAAUUAGCAAAAGUUAAAAAAAAAAAAAAACGACAGUUAGACUACAAGGGAAAAACCAAAAGAGAAAAAAAUUUAUUUUCGUUCUUUUAAUGAUUUUUAUAAUUUUUAAUUAUUUUUAAGAUUUAAAAAAUUGAAAAUAUCAAAAUGAUAUUUUUAACUAUAAUUUAAUAAACAAAUUAAUUAUUAAUCCUUUAAAUUAAGUAUCAUGUUGUUCCCUAACAGAAAUUAACGGACGAAUAAUUAAAAUAUAAUAUUUAAAUAAUAUUAAUAAUCAUUUCGUAUCUUUUAAAAAUUCAAUCAUUCAAUUAAAUAAAAUUAAAUAUUCAAUCGUUACACAAAUUACUAGAGCCAUUGAAAUAAACCAAAAACGGUUCUUAAUUUGUCUACAAAGUCAACACUCUAUCCUAUACACUCACAUGAAUAAAAUUUCAAUUCGGUCAGCCCCUUAAUUAUUAGAUUUAUUCAUGUUAUGCUAAUUAUUCAUUAUCAUCCAAUUCAUACAUUAAUUUGCCUUAAUUAUCCUAAAUUAACAUAGUUAACAAUUAAUCAAGAGGGAAAACAGUUCAUUUGAGUACUCACUAUUUAAUAAUUUCCAGCCAAUAAUGAAAUCAAGUCCUUGAUAUAAUUACACUCAAAUCCCUCUAAACUUCUAUUACUUUUUAAAGUAGUCCCCACCAAUUCACAUUUGUAUCCCUCCACUUUAAGCAUUUAUGUACUAGAUAAUCCCCACUUCAGUUUUCCUACUAUUUUCUCUUAAAUUACACCAUCUCAAUUUACUUAUUUCAUCAUAAAUAUUUAAGUUCACUGUUUAUCUCGAAAUUUACUAUCCGGAUGAUACCAUUUCGUGGUCUAAAUUUUGAAUAGUUUAAAUAUUAUAAAUUUUAAAAAAAAUCUCAAUAAAUUUUGAUAUUGAAUAAAUUGUUCUUCUAAAAAAAUCAAAUCAAUUUAAUCCCUGACAAGUUUAAAAUAAACACUUAAGACAAUUAAUCACACUGUAAUUAUUUUUCAUGAUAUAUAUAUUAUUAAUACAAUUACAAAUUUAACCCACAACAUUUAUAUAUUCUAUCAAUCCAAUUUAGAUGUAAUUAAUUUAAUCCACAAAUUUUUCUCAUUGUCAACAUUUAUGUAGAAUAUAUAAACAUUAAAAAUUAAAUUUAUUAUUAUACUAAUAAAAAUUAUAUAUAUAAUUGACGGAAAAACAUCACUAUUAUAACCAAUUAUCAUUAGUUGCUAUUUUUUAAAUCUACAAACAUCAAUUACUCCAAUUUUGAGAAAAAUUUAAAACCGACUAGAGUAACCAAAAACAAACUUUACUACCGGACAUCCAGAGAAAAUAUCCAUAGUAGAUGUAGAUCAACUAUAUGCUACGGAAUUAAUUUCAAAAAAGUUCUAUGCUGGAGAGAUGUCGGUACCAUUUGUAUCUUCGUCUUCAAAAUCUUGAAAAAUAUGUUAUUAUUGUUUUGGGAAAUAUGUUUUCCUGAACUAAAGUAAAUUGGAAAAUAUUUAGUGCAUUGGUAAUUUUUAAAUAUUAUUUUUGGAAUAAAAAAUUAUAUUCUCAAUGUAUUAUAUACUAAUUCAAAUAAAUUUUAGUUAAAAAUGAUGAUAAACUAAUUUUUAAUAAAAGUAAUAUUAAGUACUAAACAAUUAAAUACAUCAAAAGUAACAUGUUUAUUGUAUAUAAAAGUGAAUAAAAUAUAUACAAAACAUAAAUAAUAUGAAAAUAUAUUAUUUAAUUUUAAUAUUGACAACACUACUUAUCAGAUAUAUGUAUACAUUUGCAAAGCUUCCGAAAACAAAAAACCACAAUACAAAAACAAUGAGUCAAUUGGUAACUAAACACUAAAGCAAACAGACAAGGCUUGGAAGGAAAAAAAAGAGUAGAUAUACUUUUUGGUUCUCUUAUGACUUUAUUAUUUAGAUUGGUACUUAAUAAAAGAGUCGACUUCUUGGGGCAGCCAACUCAAACUCUCAACAAUUGAAAAUAUUGUAUUGACAUUAAGGUUUUGUCUAGCUUCCAUAGAAAGUCAUGUACAGUUCACAAGAAAAGUACUUUAAUUAAUGGAAAUAGAUAUCUACAAAACUCGGAAAAAAUAUCAAUAUAAAGUGUGCAAAUAAUAAUGAAAAUACUUAGGUACCCCACAACUUAAGACACCAAGGUACCUCCAUUAUUAUUCACCCACCUAUACUCUCACUUCUCCCGAGUCUUGCAGGUGACUAUUUCCACCAACUGAGGUACCCCUUGAUAAAUCGUACAUGACUCUCCAUAAAAGUUAAGGACAAAACCUCGACACAAGGAUAAAACCUUCAAUUAUAGAGACCGAAUCAACUACCCGACAAACGACAUUCCAAGUAGGAGCCAAUCCCCCCUCAAUAGUACCUAAUUUCUUUAUAUAUUUUUUUCAGACUAAAAUUUGAUUUCCACCACACAUGUUAGCCCAUUUUUGAACCUUCGUUAAUCUUGAUUUAACCACAUGGGACACAUCAUGUCAUCAACUAUGUACCUACCAUGUGUAGUAAAUUUAUUGGACCACAUAAUCCAAUUUUAAAAGAGUUACAAAAAAUUGACUAAAACCUGUAAGAAAAGCCAAAUUCGAGUACCAAUCUGAACAAAAAAUAUAUAUGUACCAAUUUAUACAUCAAAACCAAACGUACCAAAAAAUAUAUCUACCUAGAAAAAACUAAGCAUAAAAACAGUUGAACUAUGAACUCAGUGGGGCAAUCUGUUUAAAUUGCCUUUUCAUGCAUAAUAAAGGUUUCAGCUUCAGCUAGAGUUCACUAAGCAAAAGGUAUAAGAAUAAUGAUAAAGACAAAGGCAUUCAGAUUCAAUACUUCCUUUAAAUGCUUCUAUCUCAGAGGGAGUUUUUUAACUGCAGUAGCAAGCAUAAAAAAGUCCAGGAAAGCGAAUAAGUCAAUGUAGAUAUUAGAUAGUACACAACACCACCUACACGAAAAGUCUCGUGAGCUGCAAUCGAAUAAAAGUCUUUUAAGAUCAACAUAUGAAAAGGAAAUAAGAUAUGGGGGAAGAACAUUAGAGAUUGCAUUCAACAAACAAACUUUGCCUUUGUUAAUUGUAUGCAAUUGUGUAAAAGUCAAGUUGACGGUUCCCCUUCCAAGCGUACCCUCUUGGGACAUUUCUCUUCACCUUGACUGCCAGUGUUCAUCACUCUGUUUUCUUUGGCUUCCACAGAACACCUUUUGUAAGGUUUAAAUCCAGUUCGGCCAGCUUUUAGUUUUGAAUGUCCUAAUCCAAUAGUCAGCAGGCCCUCUUCUGUACUGUUCUUGUCUCUUGAUAAUGCAUUUUUCACAGUUUCUUGAUGAUCAGAACAAGAACCCCAUGUAUUGCUGUUGAGAUCUAAAGUUGAUAUUUCUUCGUCUUCCUCAGCUGGAUUUUGCUUGUCUUCACCUAUAUUUUCCUUUUGCUGCCCCUUGCUCUUGCCGUCAUGUGGAGGAGAAAAGCUUUGUGGGAGUACCUCCCGGGAGAAGAGGGCUUGAAAAGCUAGCCGCCCCUGAAUAAGUAGUGGAGCCAUACAGUGGCAAUUGUACAAAACAAUUAGAAUAAUAAUUAAAGUUGGGCUAUAUGGGAAAAUUGACAUAUCGACUCACCUCUUCAGAUACCUCCUUCCAAGAAUCACUCAGGUUGCUAUUGCUUCUACUACUACGACGGUAACAUUCAACUUGUGGAUGAUUGGGGUCAGCUCCUUUUGAAUCUUCCUUGUCUUUUUCAUGUUUUUCUAACGCAUCUGUCUCUACCUCACUGCUUGAAGGAGUGUUGGAGCCACAUGAGGACCGGUCAACUUGUUUUUUGUUCUUUGUUUUAUUUGCAUCCUGAGGCUCAAUUACUUCAGCAGCCGUCUCAUCAUCGGUAGCUUUCACUCCAGUAUUCACUUUUGCAUCUCCUCUCUCUUCACAGUCCGACGAUGAUGAAGUAGGUGAUUUAGAUGAUGAAUGCUGACCUUGCAAAGCUUCAGAGUUCUCAGGGUCUAGUUGCUCAACCUGCAGAGAUAGAGCUUGAUCAGUUUUACCCUUUUGUUCUGUCUUGGCAGCUGGAGGUUGACCAUUCUCCAUUGGUGGAACUGCAGCAGUGGAUGCAGGAAAACAGGUAAAGCCUGUAUGCAGAGGAGCACAUACAGGAAACAGUCCAUGGGCGGCCCACCAUGCAGUGGCAGCUGCUACAGUUGCAGCAGCGAUUGCAGCCAUUCUUGGAGCAGAGUUCAUUUGUCUAGAUGGGAAACCUCCUAAGCCGCCUGCAGGAGAAUCGCCAGAGCUUUCAAUAUUCGCAUAAGGCCAAAAUCUUGCUGCAAAGCUUGCUGCAGCAUGGGCAGCUGGAUUCUGUAACAAAGUAGAUACAAUGAGACUGGAAAAAGUGGAGGAGACAUGUAGAAAUGAUCGAUAGUCCUCUUGAUUUGGGCGAAGAUGCAUAAAGGGAGUAUGAAAAGGUGGCAGUGCCUGCUGAGUUGAUCUCGGAGCAUUAUUCUGAUGUUCAGUAGUUGCAGAUGCAGCUAGAUUUGCGGACAGGUUAGGUCCAUGAACAUCACCCAUAGGGCAAAAUACAGAAUCCUGAAAUGACAUAUCCAGGGAAGGAUUUUGAGCACAUGUUCUCAGGCUUCCAUCUAGGACAUGCACAGAAACAUGUCUAGGAUAAUUUUGAGCGGCUUGCAUUUCAUCUGCACAUAAAGCACCAUCCAAAUCAUCUUUUCUUUGGCCUUGAGCUG